rnacentral:lncRNA from 1 species
CAGCAAGGAAAAAGGGGGAGCUAGAACAGCUGAAGAGAGUACAGAUGAUGAAUCUGUUCCAGAGUCCAAGGCAUGCAAUCCCUCAAAACUGAUGUCAUCUCAGGCAGCAAGAGCACUCGGAAAUUGAAGCAAUAGAAAGUGUGAACAGGCUUAGAUUUUCCGUGUCUUGGUCGGCAGGAGGAGGAACCACCAGAAACCUUGCUUAUCAGGCAAGCAAGAACCUUAUCAAGAACACCCGCAUCAUCGCUCCAUCCACCGCGAACUGGAUCUGCACAAUAGUCCCACAAAACAAAAUCAGUAUCGUCACCAACAUGCAGGAGCCCGGAAAAACAGAAUAAAAUCCUUCGACUGAAAUCAACCCAAUCCCCCAGCUGAGACGAGGGGCGGUUACCUUUGCGGCGCAGGCCUUCCAGCGGCUGAAUCGCCUCUUGCCGCCGCCCAAACAAGCAGCCUCGCCCCCGCAAGAACUUCAGACAGGCGGUUGGGGAAGCGGAGGAUCCAGAGCCAGAACCAGAACCAGUCUUUUCUUGAAGCCAGCCAAGAAGAGGGACGGGCUGGUGGAGCACAGGUGGAACGGAACUGGCGGAGAAGCGGACAACGGCACGCCGCCGCUUUAACUUUUGGGCGAAGCGGACAAAGGAAUGGCAAUCCAAAUGCUCGUCUGGAUGGGGAUUUUGGAAGGAGCGAUGGUGAUGGCGAUGGUGGCCCGGAGGUUGGCGAGAUUUUGAGCAGAGUCUUCUUGGGUCCGGGAGGAAGAAAGGGUC